rnacentral:rRNA from 1 species
CAGUAGCCGCGGGAAUACGUAGGGUGCAAGCGUUAAUCGGAAUUACUGGGCGUAAAGCGUGCGCAGGCGGUUCGCUAAGACAGAUGUGAAAUCCCCGGGCUUAACCUGGGAACUGCAUUUGUGACUGGCGGGCUAGAGUAUGGCAGAGGGGGGUGGAAUUCCGCGUGUAGCAGUGAAAUGCGUAGAUAUGCGGAGGAACACCGAUGGCGAAGGCAGCCCCCUGGGCCAACACUGACGCUCAUGCACGAAAGCGUGGGGAGCAAACAGGAUUAGAUACCCGAGUAGUCCCUGUCUCUUAUAU